AUAUAUUUUUACCAACUAAAAAAAAAAGAAAAAAAAAAGGGCCUGUUGUUAUCAGCUGUAAUAUCUGAUAUGUCCUCCAUAGGAGGCUGUGUGCUGAGCAGGUUUGUGGUCCUGGGAGGUGGAACCGGAGCUUGCUCCAUCCCCUCCAUGCAUCGCCUGGUACUGCAGUGCUUCCUGGAGCGGUGACCCCCUC